rnacentral:lncRNA from 10 species
AAAAAUCUAUUUUUUUGAGCUGGUUUGACCAUCUUAUUGGCAAGAUUCUUUGAAACUUUGUGCUGUAAUAUUCCUUGCCUCCUCCUCUCUCUAGUUCUCUAAACAGGAAUGCACAUGCUUUUGUAGACACUCUACAUUCUCCUGAGACUCAAAGACAUGGAAGGCUCAGCAUCUCUCAGUGCAACUGCACCAGCAUUUAUUGAGCUGCUUACUGGGCCGCAGAAUUAAAAAUAAAUAACAUUUGUACUGUCUCCCUUUGAAGAUUUUAGUCUAUUAUGGAUGACAAACACCUGCAGUAAACAAAAAAGUGAAAUCACAGAGAUGUGUCCAGAUACUGCAGGACACAAUUUUGGGGGAAGGGGAGGUGAUUAACCUUGCCUGAUGAGUUUGGGAUCUGGCAGGGCUUCUCUAAAAUCCAGAGUGAGACAUAUUCCCUGAAAACCUUCCUGAUUCUCCUCCCAACAAAGAAAAAUUCUACGCUUACAGGGGUAAACCUGGUUCAACAUAAAUCAAGAGAGGUCUUCCUUUAACUGUGGAAAAGCAGUCACAAAGGGUGAGGUAUAUAUACUGGUAUCUUGGGGGUGUAUGGGGCAGUGGGAGAGUUUGUGGUUUACGCUGCUUGGACAAGGGCAUGAAGGGAGAAGACAGACUAUAGGUUGCAGCCUCCAGGUCCUCUUCCUAAUCCUUCUUUAAGCAACCUGCUUUCUGAGUCAAUGUUCCACAAUAGAAAACCAGCAUGACAUGGGCCCAUCUCCACCCCAUCAAAGCCCAGAACUGGAGCCAUGGCUCUAAAUUCCCACAUGGAGGCACACACAGGCCCUUACGCCUGCUGGUCCACAAUCUAGACACAACCUGCUUUUUCAAAGUCAAAGAUGACAGGAGCUGCUGGUGAGCAGCCUCAGCUUGAUAUUUCAGUGGAGGAGUUAGGUGGGUUGCUGCACAUUUGAGGGCAGUACACCUUUCGGCCAGUGGAACACAUCUGUAAAGUAUGUGACAAGAACCCUGAACAAGAUUUUUUUUUUUUUUUUUUUUUUUAGCAGAAACCAGAUGGAUGUUUCUGCUAAAGCUCCUCCAUACCUGAGCAUGAUUUAUCCUUGCAUGUAACAUUUUAAACCACCAAAAGACUUUGCAAUUACAAAUCAUUUCCAUUUUCCCUCUCUGACUUUAUCCUUAUAAUUUUCUAGAGCAAGUAUCAUUAUUUCAACUCUGAAAAAUAAAAACUAAGCCUCAGGAAGAUUAAAUGACUAUGCCAAAUAUACUCAGAUAGUAAAUGUUCAUGGCUUUUGGAUAGACCCAGGAGCUCUGAUACCCAAAGUCAAAAACCUGGUGACUUACAGACAUUUUUGGUUAAGCCCAGUGGAUGUCUUUUACAAAAUUAAAUAUUUAAAGGUUAGAUAUUUCACAUAUGAAUACAGAUUAAUAGACCUGCUUGAAAAAUCGGAACCUGGAAGCUCUGAUAAUUCUGGGCUAAUUCUGUGUGUUCAUAACCGGGUAAGAGAUGGGGCAUGUGUGGGCUAGUUUGCCACAGUCUGAACCACCCCACCACUACCCCAGAUGAUGCACGCAGUCACUUUAUCUGCCCUCCCUGAGGGCACUGGCAUCUGCGACGGCACGGCUGAACCCUUCUGCAAUGGGAGCAAGCACCAUGGAGAAGGCACAUGUCCACCAGUGACUGACAAUACCUCACCCAAAAGCCUCCAAGCACUCUUCCCUUAUGGCAUUGAGGUGGACCCAGGGC